UAAUAUUAAUUCAUAUUAAUAUCUAGUCUUUUACACUUGCACCUCAAGAAAAUUAAGACAACUGUCUGAAAAUUCCACACUCUGGAUUCUCUCUCAUGCAGUUUCCUUUGCACAAAACAAAAGCAAUCUCUAUUUACAAAGGACAUCAACUAAGGGAAGAAAAAAAAGGAAAAAAACACCCUUUCUCAACCAUAAUUGUAACUCAAUCAGAUUCUGCAGAAUGAAGUAUGAAACUGAGGGCAACCACAGAGAUUAUGCUGAAUCACAUAGAGGAAGAUUGGAAUCCAGGAAGAAACUGAGGCCAAUAAGGCUUGUAAGAUUGCCAAGCAAGAGAUCAUCGACCAGAGGAGUGAGAAUGAGACCCCAAUAUGAUAAUCUCUCCAUUGUCUCAUCUAUUGGCACAGAAAGUUUAGAACUGGCUGAUGCAUCACCCAAUUACAUGAAGGCCACCAGCAGUUCUCAUGCAAAGGAUAGUCUUGAGAAUGCACAAAGACUAUUCACAAAGAAGACUUUCACAAGAAUGUCCACUUUGAAACUGAAGAGGAGCCUGACCAGGAAGUUAUCUCGAAGGACUGAACCAAUGAGGAAGCUAAAGUCCUCAAGAUCAAUCAAGCUUGCAACUGUCAAGGGCCAAAAAUCAUCAAGGAAGCUACAUGAAUCUAGUUAUGGAAGUGAAGACCAGAAUUGGAGAAUUACUAGUGAUGCUGGUAACAAACCCCAGAGAGUCAUUACCAGAAGGUUAAGCUUGAAGCCUGUGAGGAUCUUAGCAAAGAUGGCCACUUUCAAAUCAAGGAAUUCUUCUAUUGAGAGAGGCAAUCAGAUAUCUGAAUCCCCAGACAGAAGCUUGCUUAGAGCCACUUGUUCUUCUGCUCUCAAGGAUUCCCAUUUUCCUGAUCACAUUGACCUCCCUCAAGAGGGAAGUGACUCUCAAGGAGUGUCAUCUGUGAAGGUUUGUCCAUAUUCUUAUUGCUCUCUUCAUGGUCACCGCCAUGGCGAUCAGCCUCCUUUGAAGCGAUUUGUGUCGAUUAGGAGGCGUGUGUUGAAGAGCCAAAAGCCAACGAAAAUGGAUCGUCAGCCCUUUACUAAAUCAAAGCAAAUUGGUAAUGCAAGGAAAUCUUCUCAGAAGACUCAAACUGUCCACAGUGGAGAUGGCAGAUCUCAUUUUCAGAACAAGAAAAAGCUGGUCAGGGACUCAUGUAUUAGGCCUCAUAGCACUCCAGCAUCCACAGUUACUGAAGGCGUAGAAUCAACAUCAACAGAUGUAGACGAGUUUUCUGCUUCUGGUUUUGAGAUAUUGGAGGGAGGAGUAACCAACACUGGCAACACAGGCAAAAAUAUGGAGACAGAUUAUGAAGUAUUGAAGAUGAGUUCUGUGCAGAAAGAGGCUACACAUGCUAGCACUACUGAUAUGACUAGUGGAAUACAGGAAAGAGAACGAAAGUAUAUAAAAAUGUGGCAGUUGAUGUAUAAGCAUGCUGUGUUAAGUAACACUGGUGAAUGUGAAAAUAAGCUUCCCUUUGAUGGGAAGAAGGAAGGAAGAGAGCAAGAUUCCCUUGCAAUUAAUGAAGUGAAUAACUCUUCUUGUCAUGAUGAUUGCCAUACGGAUCAGGAUAUGGAUGAUGCAAAUAAGAAUGCGAUUGAGCUGGUGCAGAAAGCAUUUGAUGAAAUUCUUCUCCCAGAGCCUGAAGACCUCUUUUCUGAUGAUCAUGUCAAAUCUGAAGGCAAUGAUUCAGAUGAGGUACCCUUAGAAGAGAGUGAAGGUCGGAGAGAAAUGAAUACCUCAACAUCCACAGAAUCUCCAAAAGCACAGAGCAUGGAGAACAAACCAGACCAAAAAACACCAAAAAGCUGGAGCAAUUUGAAAAAGUUGAUCCUCUUGAGAAGGUUUGUAAAGGCAUUAGAUAAGGUAAGAAACAUCAAUCCUCAAAGACCAAAACGUGUUCCUUCUGAUGCUAACUUGGAAAUGGAAAAAGUUUCUCUCAAGCACCAAACAGCAGAAGAGAAAAAGAAUGCUGAGGAAUGGAUGCUCGACUAUGCACUUCAAAAGGUUAUUUCUAAACUUGCACCUGCUCAAAGACAAAGAGUGACACUUCUAGUAGAAGCUUUUGAAAAAAUUCUGCCAUUUCAAGAUGCUGAGAAUGGUCCACGGUUUUCUGCGAUGAUGAAAUCUCUAGCAAACCCAAUUCAACCUCUUGAUUAUUCCUCAAACUAUAGCAAGGAAGAGGCAUCAUUUUCUCAUGAUAGUACUAUGGAACUGGCAGAUAAUGCUGGUGAUGAUCCAAUGUUAGAACUGCACGAUGCUACUAUCAAAGAAAGAUAUCUUGAUGAUCCUGGGAUGCAGACAAUCAAAGUCAAGAACAUGCCUGCAUUUGGAGCUUCCGAAGAAGACUUGAAUGGAAAGCAAAGUAUAGUUGGCAGUUAUGGUAAUGGGGAGAAGAUAUCAACCGCCAAUGACAAUAUUUAUCUAGGAGAGAUCAAAGAUACUACAUCAAGUUCCUUAAAUGAGCCAGAUGAAAUUAUAAGCUGUCAUGAGGAGGCUCCAACCAAUGAAAUAGUCACUGAUGUUUCAGAAGAUUUGCUAUCCAAUGAAAUAGUCAUAGAAAAUCCACUCAUCAAAUCCGAGCCACCUGGAAGAGAUGUUGAAACCAAGAAUCUGAUUGAUGAAAAUGGGGAACAAUUUUCCAUGUCCAAAAGUUUAAUCCUAGAAGGUCUAGUUAGAUCACUCAGAUCUAAUUUGAUUGGUUCAGAAGCACCUGCAAAUGAACCAACAACCGACAGAAAAGAAGGAAUUGAAAAUGUUAAGCCAGAAAGUGAGACUCUUGAAGAGUUCCCUACAAAGGAACAAUCUAAAGCUCCUAUGAGUGCUGUUGUAGAACCUGAGGCCUCUGUAGAGAAACAAAGCAACACAGGAUUGUGGUACUUGGUGUAUAAGCACAUGGUAUCAAAUAUGGCUGAAAACAAUUCCAAUUCACAAAUUGAUGGGGCAGAUGAGAAAGAGUCAGGGAUUGAUGGCAACAGAACUAGGGGAACUUCCACCUCUAAUGAAAGUACACCCACAACUCAUCAAGAUAUGCAAUUCGAGGACCAUCUUGUAGCUGAUCCAGAAGUUGAACAAAAAAAGAGUGAAGCCAUCAAGAUGGUAGAAGAAGCAAUUGAUUCAAUCCUUCCAGAUGAUCAGAAUUACUUAGCAGACAAGAAGUCACUCACAGGCAACACAAUUUCAGACAACUUCAAACAAUCCAGCCGAAUUGAAAGGGUGUAUGGUGAAGGCCUGAACCAAAAAGAAGAAACGAUGGAAUCUGGAAAUGGAGUAAUCCAAGAACAAGAAGAAGAAUCAACACCAAAGGAGCAAAAAAAACCAAACCAGCAAUUGCCAAGAAGCUGGAGCAAUCUUAAAAAGGUGAUCCUGCUUAGGAGAUUCAUCAAGUCAUUGGAAAAAGUAAGAAAGUUCAACCCAAGAGGCCCCAGAUAUCUGCCUGUAGAGCCUGAUUCAGAAGCCGAGAAAGUUAACUUAAGGCAUCAAGACAUGGAAGAAAGAAAAGGCACCGAAGAAUGGAUGCUUGAUUAUGCACUUCGACAGGUUGUUUCCAAAUUAACCCCGGCUAGGAAAAGAAAAGUUGAGCUGCUAGUAGAAGCUUUUGAAACUGUCAUGCCAACUAUAAAAAAUUGAAACUGGCUAAAGAGUUGGAUAGCUUUGCAUGCAAAAUCAAUUCAAGCAAAACAAGAUGAAAGGUUAACAAGGAGAUAUGUAUGAUCAUAAUCCUUUGGGAUGUCUGCAAUUUUUUGUUGGUGAAAACUUUGUGUCAGAGCUCGUAUAGUUUGAUAGUCUCUUAGGAAGAAACUUAACGAGUAUAGAAUGUUUCAUGAUUCAGCAAAAACAAAUAUUCAAUACAGUGUAUAUUUUUCAUUCAUAUUACUCUUGGGGUUCUCAGGUGGAUGUUUUGUAUGAAAGACCUUUGUGUAUCUUUGGUAUGGAACACAUUAGAAUGGCCUGAUUCGUAUUGCAUAUU